UCACUCUGGUUUCCCUUCAAUACACGUAUAAAUCUUUCGCCUUUUACUAAAGAUUUCCGUGGAGGGGAACGACUUGAUGAGUCUAUAGACCAAUUUUUAAACCUGCCCUGAUGCAAAUCGGGGCG